CCUACGGGAGGUAGCAGUGGGGAAUAUUGGACAAUGGGGGGAACCCUGAUCCAGCCAUGCCGCGUGUGUGAAGAAGGCCCUCGGGUUGUAAAGCACUUUCAGUGAGGAAGAACGCCUGGUGGUUAAUACCCAUCAGGAAAGACAUCACUCACAGAAGAAGCACCGGCUAACUCCGUGCCAGCAGCCGCGGUAAUACGGAGGGUGCGAGCGUUAAUCGGAAUUACUGGGCGUAAAGCGCGCGUAGGUGGCUUGAUAAGCCGGUUGUGAAAGCCCCGGGCUCAACCUGGGAACGGCAUCCGGAACUGUCAAGCUAGAGUGCAGGAGAGGAAGGUAGAAUUCCCGGUGUAGCGGUGAAAUGCGUAGAGAUCGGGAGGAAUACCAGUGGCGAAGGCGGCCUUCUGGACUGACACUGACACUGAGGUGCGAAAGCGUGGGUAGCAAACAGGAUUAGAUACCCUAGUAGUC
rnacentral:rRNA from 1 species